rnacentral:rRNA from 1 species
GUGCCAGCAGCUGCGGUAAUACGGAGGGUGCAAGCGUUAUCCGGAUUCACUGGGUUUAAAGGGUGCGUAGGCGGACACUUAAGUCCGUGGUGAAAUCUCUGGGCUUAACCCAGAAACUGCCAUGGAUACUAUUUGUCUUGAAUGUUGUGGAGGUUAGCGGAAUAUGUCAUGUAGCGGUGAAAUGCAUAGAUAUGACAUAGAACACCAAUUGCGAAAGGCAGCUGGCUACACAAAUAUUGACGCUGA